CUAACAUAUCAAUAAGCGGAGGAAAAGAAACCAACAGGGAUUGCCCUAGUAACGGCGAGUGAAGCGGCAAGAGCUCAAAUUUGAAAUCUGGCCCUCUCAGGGUCCGAGUUGUAAUUUGUAGAGGGCGCUUUGGCGUUGGCCCCGGCCUAAGUUCCUUGGAACAGGACGUCACAGAGGGUGAGAACCCCGUACGUGGCCGCCGGCCUCCGCCGUGUAAAGCCCCUUCGACGAGUCGAGUUGUUUGGGAAUGCAGCUCUAAAUGGGAGGUAAAUUUCUUCUAAAGCUAAAUACUGGCCAGAGACCGAUAGCGCACAAGUAGAGUGAUCGAAAGAUGAAAAGCACUUUGGAAAGAGAGUCAAAAAGCACGUGAAAUUGUUGAAAGGGAAGCGCUUGCAGCCAGACUUGCCUGUAGUUGCUCAUCCGAGCUCCCGCUCGGUGCACUCUUCUGCGGGCAGGCCAGCAUCAGUCCGGGCGGUCGGAUAAAGGCCUCGGGAAUGUAGCUCCCCUCGGGGAGUGUUAUAGCCCGGGGUGCCAUGCGACCAGCCUGGACUGAGGUCCGCGCAUCUGCUAGGAUGCUGGCGUAAUGGCUGUAAGCGGCCCGUCUUGAAACACGGACCAAGGAGUCUAACAUCUAUGCGAGUGUUUGGGUGUCAAGCCCGGGCGCGCAAUGAAAGUGAACGGAGGUGGGAACCCCUCGGGGCGCACCAUCGACCGAUCCUGAUGUCUUCGGAUGGAUUUGAGUAAGAGCAUAGCUGUUGGGACCCGAAAGAUGGUGAACUAUGCCUGAAUAGGGUGAAGCCAGAGGAAACUCUGGUGGAGGCUCGCAGCGGUUCUGACGUGCAAAUCGAUCGUCAAAUUUGGGCAUAGGGGCGAAAGACUAAUCGAACUAUCUAGUAGCUGGUUCCUGCCGA
rnacentral:rRNA from 1 species